rnacentral:rRNA from 1 species
AUUGAACGCUGGCGGCAUGCCUUACACAUGCAAGUCGAACGCGAAAGGGGGCAACCCCGAGUAGAGUGGCGAACGGGUGAGCAAUACAUCGGAACACGUCCUGUAGCGGGGGACAACCUCGAGAAAUCGAGGCUAAUACCGCAUACGAUCCAAGGAUGAAAGUGGGGGACCGCAAGGCCCCACACUAUAGGAGUGGCCGAUGCCGGAUUAGCUUGUUGGUGAGGUAACGGCUCACCAAGGCGACGAUGGGUAGCUGGUCUGAGAGGACGAUCAGCCACACUGGGACUGAGACACGGCCCAGACUCCUACGGGAGGCAGCAGUGGGGAAUCUUGCACAAUGCGCGAAAGCGUGAUGCAGCAACGCCGCGUGGGGGAAGAAGGCCUUCGGGUUGUAAACCCCUUUCAGUUGGGACGAAGCUUCGCCGGUGAAUAGCCGGCUGGAGUGACGGUACCUUCACAAGAAGCCCCGGCUAACUACGUGCCAGCCGCCGCAGUAACAC